rnacentral:rRNA from 1 species
GACGAACGCUGGCGGCGUGCCUAAUACAUGCAAGUUGAGCGCUGAAGGUUGGUACUUGUACCAACUGGAUGAGCAGCGAACGGGUGAGUAACGCGUGGGGAAUCUGCCUUUGAGCGGGGGACAACAUUUGGAAACGAAUGCUAAUACCGCAUAAAAACUUUAAACACAAGUUUUAAGUUUGAAAGAUGCAAUUGCAUCACUCAAAGAUGAUCCCGCGUUGUAUUAGCUAGUUGGUGAGGUAAAGGCUCACCAAGGCGAUGAUACAUAGCCGACCUGAGAGGGUGAACGGCCACAUUGGGACUGGGACACGGCCCAAACUCCUACGGAAGGCAGCAGUAGGGAAUCUUCGGCAAUGGACGAAAGUCUGACCGAGCAACGCCGCGUGAGUGAAGAAGGUUUUCGGAUCGUAAAACUCUGUUGGUAGAGAAGAACGUUGGUGAGAGUGGAAAGCUCAUCAAGUGACGGUAACUACCCAGAAAGGGACGGCUAACUACGUG